rnacentral:rRNA from 1 species
AAAUUGAAGAGUUUGAUCAUGGCUCAGAUUGAACGCUGGCGGCAGGCCUAACACAUGCAAGUCGAACGGUAACAGGAAACAGCUUGCUGUUUCGCUGACGAGUGGCGGACGGGUGAGUAAUGUCUGGGAAACUGCCUGAUGGAGGGGGAUAACUACUGGAAACGGUAGCUAAUACCGCAUAACGUCGCAAGACCAAAGAGGGGGACCUUAGGGCCUCUUGCCAUCGGAUGUGCCCAGAUGGGAUUAGCUAGUAGGUGGGGUAAAGGCUCACCUAGGCGACGAUCCCUAGCUGGUCUGAGAGGAUGACCAGCCACACUGGAACUGAGACACGGUCCAGACUCCUACGGGAGGCAGCAGUGGGGAAUAUUGCACAAUGGGCGCAAGCCUGAUGCAGCCAUGCCGCGUGUAUGAAGAAGGCCUUCGGGUUGUAAAGUACUUUCAGCGGGGAGGAAGGGAGUAAAGUUAAUACCUUUGCUC